AAGAAGGUCAAACUUCUAGAUUAUCUGUUCAAGUUGGAAAACAAUGAAACUCGAUUUCGAAAUGUCGAAAAUAAUAAAAUUCUAUAGAUUUUGGUCAUCCUUCUCUUUCGUAUAAGUAGCCGACGUUAAAUCAAUCAUCAUCUGCACACACAAAAACAAAAAAAAACAAAAUUUGCAAAGAGUAAAAGAAGAGAUUAGGGUUUGUAGACAGGGACGAAGUAAAGAAGAACACACAGGAGAGAAAUGUACGUCAUGUCUUUAUAGACAAGUUGCAUUGAGAAAAUUAAUCUCUAUCAAGUAUUCAAGUGGAGUUAUGAUUCCAGCCCUGCAAGUAUUACACUGACUUCCAACGUGACCAGUUACUUCUUCUGCACGGUAGAUACUCACUGCAGUGAUCAACAUUUCUGAAGAUGAUGAUCGCUGGUGGGACCGCAACGCCUCUUCUUCUCUCACUGCGAUGGCCAUCUUCUUCUAUAGCUUUAAUUAAUAGAAAUCUAAUGAAAAUGAUUUGAAAACUUUGAGUUUUAACGAUAAAGGCAAAAUAAAAUGUAAAGUGAAUAGUAUCAGGAUUGACUUUUUAGUGUAAAAAUAUGGUUUUUUGUUAAAGUGAACA